GCCGGUGUUGCUCAGUGGAUAGAGCAUCAGGCUGGGGACUGAAGAGUCCCGGGUUCAAUUCCCGGUCAAGGGCA
rfam:Myotis lucifugus cont2.474, whole genome shotgun sequence.